AAGAGUGGAGGUAAGACCUACAGGGAGAAGAGUGGAGGUAAGACCUACAGGGAGGAGAGUGGAGGUAAGACCUACAGGGAGGAGAGUGGAGGUAAGACCUACAGGGAGAAGAGUGGAGGUAAGACCUACAGGGAGAAGAGUGGAGGUAAGACCUACAGGGAGGAGAGUGGAGGUAAGACCUACAGGGAGGAGAGUGGAGGUAAGACCUACAGGGAGAAGAGUGGAGGUAAGACCUACAGGGAGAAGAGUGGA